ACCCUAAUUUCCUCCUUCAUUUUUUCUGACUUUCGCCCAUCUUCAUUCCUCAGUUCCUCACCAAAACCCUUCAGUUCCUCAGUUCGUCCCUCAUCACCUCACUCCGACCACCAUAUCUCAGUUCAUUCCUUCAGUUCCGGUGUUUCCUUGUUCGUAUCUCAGUUCCUUCCGUCAGAUCCGGUGUUCGUACUCCCUCAAAUCCGCGGCGCGCCACCACCUUCCUCCGCCACUACCUCUCUCAGUCACUCAAAGUAUAAACUCUUUGAAGGUUUGAAGAGUUGAAGAUGCCGAAGCUGCCGCCAUUAUGUUGAAUCUGUUGCUAUGUUGAAGCUGCCAUGUGCCAUGUUGAAUUUAUUAGUUGAAUUUUAUUGCAUUUUUAAGACUUUUGUAAUUUGAAAAUUUAUUCUAAUGGCUGGUCUUUUUUUUUUUUUUUUUUUCUAUUAUGCUAUAUCCUAAUUUUGGCAAAUAUUAAGCUAUUUUAAGGGCCAAAACAAUAGGCCCAAUUUUUUAGGCCCAAA